rnacentral:RNase_P_RNA from 1 species
CUAGUAAGUCGGAUGAUUACCCUGAUUCAUAUUGGGGAGGAAAGUCCGAACACUCUCCCGACCUAUGUCGGGAAACAGCCUAGCGGGUAACGCCCGUCCAUCGUAAGAUGAGGGAUGCGAACAGAGACGAACCGGUUAAGUCCGGAGUGAAACGGUCCCGACGUAAAAGUCGGGACUCCGACCUCGUAAGAGCGUCGGAGCUAAAUUCCUAGGUGGGUGCAAGAGUAAAUAUCUAGCGGGAAGUGAUUAUGAUUUUCUGCUAGUGAAAGGUAACUCGCUCGACUCCGACGGUAACGUCGGGGCUAGAUAAAUGAUCAUCGAUUACAGAAUUCGGCUUAUAGACUUACUGGGACA